rnacentral:lncRNA from 1 species
GAAGCGCGCGUGGAAACCUCCCGUCACCCAAACUGAAACUCCUGCAGCAGACAGACCGAGGCCUUCCCCGGGAUCUCCCAAGCAUAGCCACCCACAGCUGCCGUCACCCCGCAAGCUUCCCUUUUCCUUUUCAAAAAAAUAUUAAAUAUAGGUUUUUAUGAUGUCUACUUCGCUGGUGACGCAUCUCCUGAACACCUUCAAAUAACUAGGCCUUCCUGCAUUUUUUAAACCUAAAAUAUAGUUCUUUCUUGUUAGCACUUGAAAUAGUAUUUAGACUGGGAGAAGCCGGGAAGAUUUCAUGGAGGUUGAGAUGUGUGUCGCCCUUUGAAGGAAAGCAUGUUUCAACAAAUGGAAAUGUGGGGGAACCUGUCAACUACGCGAGGACAACAGCAUCACUAAUAUGUGAUUACGGGAGUGGGUUCAAGAGUACUAACUGAGAUUUGGUUGUAAUCCUGCAGGCAUUUAGAAGGAUCACGCAUCAUGGAUGUGAUUUGUAGUAAGCCUUGAAAGUCAGGGUAAAGCCUUAGGUUUUGCUUGAUAGAUGGCAAGGAUUCAUUGAAUUGGACAAAUAUGUGAAAAUAAGAAACAGGGAGACAGAUCUUUUGCAAAAAGGAAGGGGACCAAAGGAGGGGAGGGAGGGAAAGGGGAUAAAAAAAGAAUUGAGAUG